UACGUAGGCAGCGAGCGUUGUUCGGAGUUACUGGGCGUAAAGAGUGCGUAGGCGGUGCCCUAAGUCUGGUGUGAAAUCUCCCGGCUCAACCGGGAGGGUGCGCCGGAAACUGGGGUGCUCGAGUGUGGGAGAGGCAGGCGGAAUUCCCGGUGUAGCGGUGAAAUGCGCAGAUAUCGGGAGGAACACCGGUGGCGAAGGCGGCUCUCUGGGCCUGUCCUGACGCUCAGGCGCGAAAGCUAGGGGAGCAAACAGG
rnacentral:rRNA from 1 species